GUGUCAGCCGCCGCGGUAAUACGUAGGUGGCAAGCGUUAUCCGGAAUUAUUGGGCGUAAAGCGCGCGCAGGCGGUUUCUUAAGUCUGAUGUGAAAGCCCACGGCUCAACCGUGGAGGGUCAUUGGAAACUGGGGAACUUGAGUGCAGAAGAGAAAAGCGGAAUUCCACGUGUAGCGGUGAAAUGCGUAGAGAUGUGGAGGAACACCAGUGGCGAAGGCGGCUUUUUGGUCUGUAACUGACGCUGAGGCGCGAAAGCGUGGGGAGCAAACAGGAUUAGAUACCCUAGUAGUCC
rnacentral:rRNA from 1 species